rnacentral:rRNA from 1 species
UGCUGGAGGUAUCAGAAGUGCGAAUGCUGACAUAAGUAACGAUAAAGCGGGUGAAAAGCCCGCUCGCCGGAAGACCAAGGGUUCCUGUCCAACGUUAAUCGGGGCAGGGUGAGUCGACCCCUAAGGCGAGGCCGAAAGGCGUAGUCGAUGGGAAACGGGUUAAUAUUCCCGUACUUGGUGUUACUGCGAAGGGGGGACGGAGAAGGCUAUGUUGGCCGGGCGACGGUUGUCCCGGUUUAAGCGUGUAGGCUGGUUUUCCAGGCAAAUCCGGAAAAUCAAGGCUGAGGCGUGACGACGAGGCACCACGGUGCUGAAGCAACAAAUGCCCUGCUUCCAGGAAAAGCCUCUAAGCGUCAGGUAACAUCAAAUCGUACCCCAAACCGACACAGGUGGUCAGGUAGAGAAUACCAAGGCGCUUGAGAGAACUCGGGUGAAGGAACUAGGCAAAAUGGUGCCGUAACUUCGGGAGAAGGCACGCUGACAUGUAGGUGAAGCGGUUUACCCGUGGAGCUGAAGUCAGUCGAAGAUACCAGCUGGCUGCAACUGUUUAUUAAAAACACAGCACUGUGCAAACACGAAAGUGGACGUAUACGGUGUGACGCCUGCCCGGUGCCGGAAGGUUAAUUGAUGGGGUCAGCGCAAGCGAAGCUCCUGAUCGAAGCCCCGGUAAACGGCGGCCGUAACUAUAACGGUCCUAAGGUAGCGAAAUUCCUUGUCGGGUAAGUUCCGACCUGCACGAAUGGCGUAAUGAUGGCCAGGCUGUCUCCACCCGAGACUCAGUGAAAUUGAACUCGCUGUGAAGAUGCAGUGUACCCGCGGCAAGACGGAAAGACCCCGUGAACCUUUACUAUAGCUUGACACUGAACACUGGUCCUUGAUGUGCAGGAUAGGUGGGAGGCUUUGAAGCGUGGACGCCAGUCUGCGUGGAGCCGUCCUUGAAAUACCACCCUUUAAUGGCUGGUGUUCUAACGUGGGCCCCUGACCGGGGUUGCGGACAGUGUCUGGUGGGUAGUUUGACUGGGGCGGUCUCCUCCCAAAGAGUAACGGAGGAGCACGAAGGUUGGCUAAUCCUGGUCGGACAUCAGGAGGUUAGUGCAAUGGCAUAAGCCAGCUUGACUGCGAGCGUGACGGCGCGAGCAGGUGCGAAAGCAGGUCAUAGUGAUCCGGUGGUUCUGAAUGGAAGGGCCAUCGCUCAACGGAUAAAAGGUACUCCGGGGAUAACAGGCUGAUACCGCCCAAGAGUUCAUAUCGACGGCGGUGUUUGGCACCUCGAUGUCGGCUCAUCACAUCCUGGGGCUGAAGUAGGUCCCAAGGGUAUGGCUGUUCGCCAUUUAAAGUGGUACGCGAGCUGGGUUUAGAACGUCGUGAGACAGUUCGGUCCCUAUCUGCCGUGGGCGCUGGAAGAUUGAGGGGGGCUGCUCCUAGUACGAGAGGACCGGAGUGGACGCAUCACUGGUGUUCGGGUUGUCAUGCCAAUGGCACUGCCCGGUAGCUAAAUGCGGAAGAGAUAAGUGCUGAAAGCAUCUAAGCACGAAACUUGCCCCGAGAUGAAUCUUCCCUGAGACUUUAAGUCUCCUGAAGGAACGUUGAAGACGACGACGUUGAUAGGCCGGGUGUGUAAGCGCAGCGAUGCGUUGAGCUAACCGGUACUAAUGAACCGUGAGGCUUAACC